rnacentral:rRNA from 1 species
UACGGAGGAUCCAAGCGUUAUCCGGAAUUACUGGGUGUAAAGAGUUGCGUAGGUGGCAUAGUAAGUAGAUAGUGAAAGCGUGCGGCUCAACCGCAUACACAUUAUCUAAACUGCUAAGCUAGAAGAUGAGAGAGGUCACUGGAAUUCCCUGUGUAGGAGUGAAAUCCGUAGAUAUAGGGAGGAACACCGAUGGCGUAGGCAGGUGACUGGCUCAUUCUUGACACUAAGGCACGAAAGCGUGGGGAGCAAACGGG